rnacentral:misc_RNA from 1 species
GAUGAAGAACGCAGCGAAAUGCGAUAACUAGUGUGAAUUGCAGAAUUCCGUGAAUCAUCGAGUCUUUGAACGCACAUUGCGCCCCCUGGUAUUCCGGGGGGCAUGCCUGUCCGAGCGUCAUUGCUGCCCUCAAGCACGGCUUGUGUGUUGGGCCUCCGUCCUCCUCCCGGGGGACGGGCCCGAAAGGCAGCGGCGGCACCGCGUCCGGUCCUCGAGCGUAUGGGGCUUCGUCACCCGCUCUUGUAGGCCCGGCCGGCGCUUGCCGACACAUCAAUCUUUUUUCCAGGUUGACCUCGGAUCAGGUAGGGAUACCCGCUGAACUUAAGCAUAUCAAUAAGCGGAGGA